UGCUGCCGUGUUGUCUCUCAGCUGGUGAGGGGAAGGAGCAGAGACAGCCGGUGGACGGAGGUGGAGGAGAAAGUCCCUCACAAGCACCGACACUCCUUCACGUCGCCCCCGCUGUUGCUCACAGGGAAACUACAACCAGUGAGCAAAGAUUUCCUACGGUCAUCCCAGUUACCUCUACAAGAGCCUCAAACACAGCAAAGUGUGACGCUUGGGCUCUUCUGCUUGCCUUAUUGGUAGACCUGCACAUGCCCAUGUAAGGAGGUGGUGUUCCCCCCACAGUCCACAUACUGGUACAUCUCCUGGGAGACCUGCUCCGAGUGGCCAAAGUACGACGUCGUCACCGUCACCCUGAAAAACAACGGCAGAGUCAACGACUGUACAUCAGACAGCAAGGUGUGACUGGGACUUGCCCAUAGCUGCAGCUGUCUGCACACAAAGGACGGCACGAUGAGAGAGGAAGUGCCAUAAAUGUAGGUGCAGCGGGACAUGCCCACUAACCACACGCCACACAGUCGUCUGAACGUGAAAUUGGGUCGGGACGGAUUACAGCAAACAUUUCCCGGGAGAGCAAGCCUCACCUGGUGCACAGUCCAUGAUGAAAAACCUCCUGUAAAACUUAAUUCUGUUGGGAUUUGGAGUGAAGCAAGACUGUGACAUUUGCUUCAUGUUUUUCUUUCUUUACUAUCACCAGUAUCUCACUCUGGAUGUUCUCUGCCAUGUAGGAGUUUACAGCUUUGUUCUCAUACUUGGGUGGUAUCCUUCUACUAUGAUCAUAGCAUUACUGUAGUUCUUUGAGGACUAUGCAGUAACAGUAUCACUUUAUAUUACUGUGCAUGUUGUGUCAAGCUGCUGUCCAGUCAGUUAGGUGACUUUCUGGUCAUUAAGAUUUGAACUGAUUAAGAAUUUGUUUGUCAUUUUUGGGGAAUGAGGUUUUAUUCAGUAGCAGAUAUUGGAA